UUUCCCGCGACCGUGUCCGACCGAGCCGAGAAUCCCGGCGACUCGCGAAUCUCCGAGGAAUUUUCCGGAGGCGGACGCGUGGACCUCGCGGAAUCACGAGCUGGCCGGAUCGAGAAAUAUCGAAGGAUGAAUCGAAGAAUCAAAUGUCGGAAUUUGAACCGGAAGUGACGGUCGCGAACGACGAUGUGGUCCGAUCGGGAUGACGCGAGAGCGAGGAUCCAGACGUCGAUUGAACCCGAUCGAUGUGUCAAAAGCACUUUCAUCGUCCUUCGUACGCCUACACGCAAACAGGAGUACAUGCUGGGAAUGGAGGAGCCCUGUGCGGCUGCGCCUAUGCGCGCACGCAAUUGACAACCCUCCCGACACUGCGGAUCACGUGUGAUCCUGCAUAGAGCAGAUAUGGCGCCUCUAUCGGAGGAACAGUGAAGCUCCGAACGAUGUCCGUACAGCGCCAAUUUG